GCAUCUACUCAAACACAUGCAUCUACUCAAACACAUGCAUCUACUCAAACACAUGCAUCUACUCAAACACAUGCAUCUACUCAAACACAUGCAUCCACUCAAACACAUCUACUCAAACACAUCCACUCAAACACAUGCAUCCACUCAAACGCAUCUACUCAAACACAUGCAUCCACUCAAACACAUCUACUCAAACGAAUGCAUCCACUCAAACACAUCUACUCAAACGAAUGCAUCCACUCAAACACAUCUACUGAAAGACAUGCAUCCACUCAAACGUAUCUACUCAAACACAUGCACACACACACACACACAAAAACGUAUUUCCGUUUGCUUUGUGUGCUGAAUGUUUUGAUAAAGCCUGGAAUGAAAGAAAAAGGGCCUAUAAUUAAAUCCUAAACAUAUUUAUCUCCAGACAGACAGCGAAAUGCACAUAUGUACAGUAUAGGCCUAUACCUCUGUGUCAGAGCGGGUUUAAACGCCUUUCAUGUUGAGGUAUUAUAGUUAUUGAUGUUACUUAGAGAACCUUAUCUAAUGUUUUGUAUUGAUUUAUCUCAUUCUUUAUGAGAACACCAGAGGAAUUAUCACUACAUUAUUGUAAUGGUUGUUUAUGUGCCAAUGAAUCCUGUAAGGGAUGGGUUGCCAACUGGGGAUUUGACAUGAAAAUAAAAUGUAAUUCACACACACACACACCACACACCAUACAUACAUACAUACAUAGAGAGGCUUUUUCACACAUUCCCCUUCCACUCCAUCAUAUUGCAUCCUGUCCCAUGUCACACAAUAAGAGGCUGUGGAGGCACCAAUAAGUCAUCAUACUUUCUGCUUUCUGUUUCGGCCAAUGAGAUGGUUUUCAGACCGCCUUAUCUAUCGUCGGACACAACAACAAUUCAUGCAGAACAGCUUCAGUUUGCAGGAAAUGACUGUCUUUUUGAGUUAUUUUCUAGAUGUAAGAGCUGGUAUUUACCCUGACCUUGCCUUAAAGGGAGAGUUCAUAUAAAAUACGUGGAAUUAGACAUGAAACGCAGAAAUGCUAAUAUCGUUGAUAUUGACUUACAUUGGGGUUUUUUCCACGAAUACAAACAAAGGUUGUAUUUCGGAGACAUUGGCCAGGUGAAUAAACCAAACAUGAACAGAUGUAUUACCUUAAAGGGUGCUUUGGAUUAACUAUCCCUUUAAAUGUGUGACUUUGGUCUGCCUCUAAAAACCAGAAGUGUUGAAAGAGUGUGUCUUAGGCUGGGAAAGACUGGUCCUAGGAGAUCUGUGAACCUCUAGUAGUAGUUUGUGAAGAGUAGAACUUUAGUGCCCUGUUAGAAAGAAAACACACACACUUGAGUGCUGGCUAACCUGUUAUUACUUAGGCCUGUGAUUUACCGUGUGGUGCUGAGUGGACACCGUGGCACAUAGUAAAGGGGCUGUGUCUGUGUCGAGGCCUGACAUCUUUUAUGCAAGUGUGUGGCUGAGUUGGAGAGGAAGAAAGCGUUCCACCCAUUAAUACAGUGUGUGUGUGUUUGUGGGUGUGGGUGCGUGUGCGCGAGGCCUUACUUGUCUUAAAUAGAAAAUAUUCAGAUCAGAUGAGCAGACACUUGACUGAAGCCGUCCGGGAGAACCCUUUCUCCUCCUGAGACAAAGGGAAGAAAGAGAAGGAGGGAGGGAUGAGAAAAGGAAUUAAAUGAAUGAGUGAAAACUCACCCUAUGAGGCAUCGCUGCUCUGCUCUCACUAGACGAGCACCACUGAAACUAAAGCUCUGCUGAGCUUCGCAAAACGGAGGAAUUCUCAAGACAUCAGACAGGAAUUGUUUUGAUAUUUUAAUUUGGCAUAAUAGGCUUCAACUUAUUGCUUUCAACGUCAAAACUAAAAAUUGGUAGAAAGACUAAAUUCACCUGGGGUUUUAGCGUUUGUGUUUUUAGGUUUUAUAACUGACUGUAAUUACAUCAGAAAAGCUUUAAAUAUGUCAAGCCUGUGACUUUGUUGUGACUGAAAGUUGGCUCCCAGUGUUCCUAACGUAAACUCCUAAUGUUCCUCUAAGUGGGGAGUUGGAGUCAGUCAUUUGGCUCUAUGGGGCUGAUAGGAGAUGUUAGGUUUAGACAAGCAUAUACACACACACACACACGUACGCAUGCGCAACAGCAAACCAUUUCAACCUUGUACAACUGUCUGCCAGUUUCCAUCAAAACAUUCCUCCAGAUGAAUGGAAAAGAUAGUCACCAUCUAAAAUAAUGUAAAUGACAUUCAACAAGUUAUUAANNNNNNNNNNUUUUUUCCACGAAUACAAACAAAGGUUGUAUUUCGGAGACAUUGGCCAGGUGAAUAAACCAAACAUGAACAGAUGUAUUACCUUAAAGGGUGCUUUGGAUUAACUAUCCCUUUAAAUGUGUGACUUUGGUCUGCCUCUAAAAACCAGAAGUGUUGAAAGAGUGUGUCUUAGGCUGGGAAAGACUGGUCCUAGGAGAUCUGUGAACCUCUAGUAGUAGUUUGUGAAGAGUAGAACUUUAGUGCCC
rnacentral:lncRNA from 13 species